rnacentral:rRNA from 1 species
AUGGUACUAUACCUGUCAGACUUUUGUCAGUUGAGUUCAGGAGAAGUAUUUGCCUCAACCCGUCCUCGACAUGCCAGGCCCGCACAAGUGCAGCGACCCGACACCACAAUGAUCAAGAUGCGUGGGUUUGCUACAGUCCUUGCUGGGGCAGCGGAUGGACCUGAUGGCCCACAUAGGAGUGUUGCGCGCGGGCGGCUAGGGGCUCCUGGGAGUGGAUCUACAUCUCGGAAUGAACAAGGGUUGCAAUCUCUCUCUGUUUCCCCAUCUUCUCUUAGCUCUUACUCGCCGCGCAACACGGCAUCCUAG